UAGCCUUUGUGGCAAACACUUGCCAAACACAC
rnacentral:piRNA from 1 species